ACCAGACUCCUACGGGAGGCAGCAGUGGGGGAUAUUGCACAAUGGGGGGAACCCUGAUGCAGCGACGCCGCGUGGGUGAAGAAGCGCCUCGGCGCGUAAAGCCCUGUCAGCAGGGAAGAAAAUGACGGUACCUGAAGAAGAAGCCCCGGCUAACUACGUGCCAGCAGCCGCGGUAAUACGUAGGGGGCAAGCGUUAUCCGGAUUUACUGGGUGUAAAGGGGGCGCAGACGGCGAUGCAAGCCAGGAGUGAAAGCCCGGGGCCCAACCCCGGGACUGCUCUUGGAACUGCGUGGCUGGAGUGCAGGAGGGGCAGGCGGAAUUCCUGGUGUAGCGGUGAAAUGCGUAGAUAUCAGGAGGAACACCGGUGGCGAAGGCGGCCUGCUGGACCGUGACUGACGUUGAGGCUCGAGAGCGUGGGGAGCAAACAGGAUUAGAUACCCUGGUA
rnacentral:rRNA from 1 species